AACCAUAGAAACCUGCGGAGUACCUGCGGAGGGAUCAUUACAAAAUACUUGCGCCGACCCCUCGGGGUUGCGCGCUUCUAUUUACCCACCCUUUGCCUAUGUGUAUCCCUAUCGCUUCCUCGGCGGGCUCGCCCGCCGGCAGGAACCACCCAAAACCCUUGCAUCUAUACAUGAAAACUUCUGAUACCAAUCUAAAUUAUUACAACUUUUAGCAAUGGAUCUCAGAUCGGAAGAGCACAC
rnacentral:misc_RNA from 1 species